AGGACAAACGCUGGCGGCGUGCGUAACACAUGCCAAGUCGGACGGGGUUCUUGGCUUCGGCUGGGGAUUCAGUGGCGGACGGGUGCGUAACACGUGGAUGACCUGCCCCGCGGUGGGGGAUAGCCUGCGGAAACGCGGGAUAAUACCGCAUGUGGUGCGGCUGGGGGACCGGCCGCAGGAAAGCUUCGUUGGAAGACGAGGCGCCGGGGGAGGGGUCCGCGGCCGAUUAGCUAGUUGGCGGGGUAACGGCCCACCAAGGCGACGAUCGGUAGCUGGUCUGAGAGGAUGAUCAGCCACACUGGGAUUGAGAACGGCCCAGACUCCUACGGGGGGCAGCAGUGAGGAAUCUUCGGCAAUGGGGGCAACCCUGACCGAGCAACGCCGCGUGGGGGACGACGGCCUUCGGGUUGUAAACCCCUUUUCUGCCCGACGAGACGAGGGACGGUAGGGCAGGAAGAAGCCUCGGCUAACUACGUGCCAGCAGCCGC
rnacentral:rRNA from 1 species